GAACAAGCGCAAGAAGGGCGUUUGGCGGAUGCCUUGGCGUUGAGAGGCGAUGAAGGACGUGGCACUCUGCGAUAAGCCGCGGGGAGAUGAGAGCAAUCUUUGAUCCGCGGAUUUCCGAAUGGGGAAACCCACCCGUAAGGGUAUCCUGCUUGCAGGAGGCGAACCCGGGGAACUGAAACAUCUAAGUACCCGGAGGAAAGGACAUCAACAUGAGACUCCCCUAGUAGUGGCGAGCGAACGGGGACCAGGCCAUUAGCAAACUGUUCAAACUGGAACCGUGCUGGAAAGCCGGACCAUAGCGGGUGACAGUCCCGUACAGGUAAAUGGACAGGGCGCUAUCGAGUAGGGCGGGACACGUGAAAUCCUGUCUGAACAUGGGGGGACCAUCCUCCAAGCCUAAGUACUCCUCAACGACCGAUAGCGAACGAGUACCGUGAGGGAAAGGUGAAAAGCACCCCGAUAAGGGGAGUGAAACAGACCCUGAAACCGGACGCCUACAAUCUGUGGGCGCCCCCUUCGAGGGGUGACCGCGUACCUCUUGCAUAAUGGGUCAGCGACUUGAUCUCUGUAGCGAGCUUAAGCCGAUAGGCGUAGGCGCAGCGAAAGCGAGUCUGAACAGGGCGACGAGUUACAGGGAUCAGACCCGAAACCUGGUGAUCUAGGCAUGGGCAGGCUGAAGGUGCGGUAACACGCACUGGAGGGCCGAACCCACCAAUGUUGAAAAAUUGGGGGAUGACCUGUGCCUAGGGGUGAAAGGCCAAGCAAACCAGGAAAUAGCUGGUUCUCCGCGAAACCUAUUUAGGUAGGCCGUUGAGUUUAUACCUGCGGGGGUAGAGCACUGGAUGGGCUAGGGGGGCGCGAGCCUUACCAAACCUAACCAAACUCCGAAUACCGUAGAGUACUGCUCGGCAGACAGACGGCGGGUGCUAAGGUCCGUCGUCGAAAGGGAAACAGCCCAGACCGCCAGCUAAGGUCCCUAAAUCAUGGCUAAGUGGGAAAGGAUGUGGGACGACCAAGACAGCCAGGAGGUUGGCUUAGAAGCAGCCACCCUUUAAAGAAAGCGUAACAGCUCACUGGUCUAAACAAGUUGUCCUGCGCCGAAAAUGUAACGGGGCUCAAGCCAUGUACCGAAGCUGCGGAUGUUCGCAGGUAUCAGUUGCCAGUAAUCGGGAAUCAGAACGGUUCAGAUCCCUGAUUCCUGACAUCUGAUACCUGUUGAACAUGGUAGCGGAGCGUUCCGUAUGCCUGCGAAGCGCGCCUGUGAGGGCGUGUGGAGGUAUCGGAAGCGAGAAUGCUGACACGAGUAGCGAUAAAGAGUGUGAGAAACACUCUCGCCGAAAGUCCAAGGGUUCCUGCGUAAAGCUAAUCUGCGCAGGGUUAGCCGGCCCCUAAGGCGAGGCCGAAAGGCGUAGCCGAUGGGAACACGGUAAAUAUUCCGUGGCCUGUCAGGAGUUGACGAAGGCCGAAAGCUGUCUGUCCUUAUUGGAUUGGUCAGGCAGCCUGGGACUUCCAGGAAAUAGCCCUGACGAUAGACCGUACCCUAAACCGACACAGGUGGGCUGGUAGAGCAUACCAAGGCGCUUGAGAGAACGGUGCUGAAGGAACUCGGCAAAAUGCCUCCGUACCUUCGGAAGAAGGAGGACCUCGCCCGGGCAACCGGGCCGGGGUGGCACAGACCAGGGGGUAGCGACUGUUUACUAAAAACACAGGGCUCUGCGAAGUCGCAAGACGACGUAUAGGGUCUGACGCCUGCCCGGUGCCGGAAGGUUAAGGAGAGGGGUGCAAGCUCUGAACCGAAGCCCCGGUAAACGGCGGCCGUAACUAUAACGGUCCUAAGGUAGCGAAAUUCCUUGUCGGGUAAGUUCCGACCUGCACGAAUGGCGUAACGACUUCCCCGCUGUCUCCAGCACCGACUCAGCGAAACUGAAUUCUCCGUGAAGAUGCGGAGUAGCCGCGGCUAGACGGAAAGACCCCGUGCACCUUUACUACAGCUUCGCACUGGUAUUAGAACCGUCAUGUGUAGGAUAGGCGGGAGCCUUUGAAGCGCUGGCGCCAGUUGGCGUGGAGGCAUCCUUGAAAUACCGCCCUUAACGCUUCUGAUAUCUAACCGCGAUCCGUGAACCCGGAUCCGGGACCGUGCGUGGUGGGUAGUUUGACUGGGGCGGUCGCCUCCCAAAGAGUAACGGAGGCGCGCGAAGGUUGGCUCAAGCUGGUCGGAAAUCAGCUGUGGAGUGCAAAGGCAUAAGCCAGCCUGACUGCGAGGCCGACGGGCCAAGCAGAGACGAAAGUCGGCCUUAGUGAUCCGGUGGUCCCGCAUGGAAGGGCCAUCGCUCAACGGAUAAAAGGUACGCCGGGGAUAACAGGCUGAUGAUUCCCAAGAGUUCACAUCGACGGAAUCGUUUGGCACCUCGAUGUCGGCUCAUCACAUCCUGGGGCUGGAGCAGGUCCCAAGGGUACGGCUGUUCGCCGUUUAAAGUGGUACGUGAGCUGGGUUUAGAACGUCGUGAGACAGUUUGGUCCCUAUCUGCCGUGGCUGUACGAGACUUGAGAGGAGCUGCCCCUAGUACGAGAGGACCGGGGUGGACGUACCUCUGGUGUACCUGUUGUGGCGCCAGCCGCACCGCAGGGUAGCUAAGUACGGACGGGAUAACCGCUGAAAGCAUCUAAGCGGGAAGCCUCCCUCGAAACGAGGUCUCGCCUGAGAGCCGUGGAAGACCACCACGUUGAUAGGCCGGGUGUGGAAGUGCAGCAAUGCAUGAAGCUAACCGGUACUAAUCGCUCGAUUGGCUUGUUCUU
rnacentral:rRNA from 1 species